GAGUUUGAUCCUGGCUCAGGACGAACGCUGGCGGCGUGCCUAAUACAUGCAAGUCGAGCGCAGAGGUAUCUAGCUUGCUAGAUACUGAUGAGCGGCGAACGGGUGAGUAACGCGUGGAUAACCUGCCUUAUAGAGGGGGAUAACUAUUGGAAACGAUAGCUAUUACCGCAUAACAACUUAGUACUCAUGUACUAAGUUUAAAAGUAGCAAUUGCUACGCUGUGAGAUGGAUCCGCGUUGUAUUAGCUAGUUGGUAAGGUAACGGCUUACCAAGGCGAUGAUACAUAGCCGACCUGAGAGGGUGAUCGGCCACACUGGGACUGAGACACGGCCCAGACUCCUACGGGAGGCAGCAGUAGGGAAUCUUCGGCAAUGGACGGAAGUCUGACCGAGCAACGCCGCGUGAGUGAAGAAGGUUUUCGGAUCGUAAAACUCUGUUGUAAGAGAAGAACACUGAGGAGAGUGGAAAGCUCCUUAGUUGACGGUAACUUACUAGAAAGUCACGGCUAACUACGUGCCAGCAGCCGCGGUAAUACGUAGGUGGCAAGCGUUGUCCGGAUUUAUUGGGCGUAAAGCGAGCGCAGGCGGAUCAUUAAGUCUGAUGUAAAAGGCAAUGGCUUAACCAUUGUAAGCAUUGGAAACUGGUGACCUUGAGUGCAGUAGAGGAGAGUGGAAUUCCAUGUGUAGCGGUGAAAUGCGUAGAUAUAUGGAGGAACACCGGGUGGCGAAAGCGGCUCUCUGGA
rnacentral:rRNA from 1 species